rnacentral:rRNA from 1 species
AACGAACGCUGACGGCGUGCUUAACACAUGCAAGUCGAACGGGAAAAUCCUAGCUUGCUAGGGUGAGUAAAGUGGCGCACGGGUGAGUAACACGUGAGUAAUCUGCCCCUAAGUCAGGGAUAACUCCGCGAAAGCGGGGCUAAUACCCGAUAUGCUCACGACUACUGCGGUAGACGUGAGAAAAGGUGGCCUCUGGCAUAAGCUAUCGCUUGGGGAUGAGCUCGCGGACCAUUAGCUAGUUGGUAGGGUAAUGGCCUACCAAGGCUACGAUGGUUAGCUGGCCUGAGAGGGUGGCCAGCCACACUGGAACUGAGAUACGGUCCAGACUCCUACGGGAGGCAGCAGUGGGGAGUCUUGCGCAAUGGGGGAAACCCUGACGCAGCAACGCCGUGUGAGUGAUGAAGGCUUUCGGGUCGUAAAGCUCUGUCAGAUGGGAAGAAUUAGUUUGCUGAGAAUAUUUGCAAAUGAUGACGGUACCAUCGAAGGAAGCACCGGCUAACUCCGUGCCAGCCGCCGCCGUAAAAC